rnacentral:rRNA from 1 species
AUUGAACGCUGGCGGCAGGCUUAACACAUGCAAGUCGAGCGGGGUGAUGGUGCUUGCACUAUCACUUAGCGGCGGACGGGUGAGUAAUGCUUAGGAAUCUGCCUAUUAGUGGGGGACAACAUCUCGAAAGGGAUGCUAAUACCGCAUACGUCCUACGGGAGAAAGCAGGGGAUCACUUGUGACCUUGCGCUAAUAGAUGAGCCUAAGUCGGAUUAGCUAGUUGGUGGGGUAAAGGCCGACCAAGGCGACGAUCUGUAGCGGGUCUGAGAGGAUGAACCGGCACACUGGGACUGAGACACGGCCCAGACUCCUACGGGAGGCAGCAGUGGGGAAUAUUGGACAAUGGGGGGAACCCUGAUCCAGCCAUGCCGCGUGUGUGAAGAAGGCCUUAUGGUUGUAAAGCACUUUAAGCGAGGAGGAGGCUCUUUUGGUUAAUACCCAAGAUGAGUGGACGUUACUCGCAGAAUAAGCACCGGCUAACUCUGUGCCAGCCGCCGCCGUAAGAC